AGAGUGAGCUGAUGGAAAGGAGCCGAGGAAAUUCCAGCAGAAACAGUAGAAGAUGCAGGAGCUGAAACAGAUUGGAGAAAAUUAAGUCCCGUGCAGUGGAGGACAGUGAGAUAAUCUUUCCAAAGUUCAGGGGAAACAGCACUUGGAGGUGAUGGAGCUGAUUAAAGCUCUGGAGAAUGCUGACCUGAGGUGAACUGAACAGAUUGUGGAGCAAGUGAUCAGAGGAACUUGCUGAUCUUUGGAGGAGAGCUGCUGAUCUGGAGCAGCUUUCACACCGAUCACAUCCACUUCCUCCAGUGGUAGACUGUAGACUGGACGUGAGCAGAGACUCAGCAAAAAUAAUGGCACAGCAGCUCUUUCUCACCCCUUCAUCACAGAGAAAUACUUUUACAACACACACACAGUCACUGUGUGGGAGAGAGGAAGAGUGUGUUUUCUAUCAUUGAAGAGGAGUCUCACAGACAGCUGUUCCCUUCUUUCCACAUCCCCAACCUCUGUGCCAUAGCCAGGUGAAUCUCAGCACAGAGGAAAAAAACCCCACGACAAAUAAAAAUAAGUCCAACACCUGUUGGCUGUCCAUCACUAGCGAUGAUGACUGCUUUGUUAGGAUGCGCAGAAAUGCAGAUGGUUUGCGAGGCCCGCACCAGAGCACACCAGACUUAUUCUCCUCUCCUAAUGAAGCGCCUUGCACAGUAAGGUAAGACAAACGAUGUCGUGCCCCCAUCAUGUUGUUUCUGUGGACCUCCAGACCUGAUGCCAAGUGGUGCACAAAAGUGCCACAGACCUGACGGGUAUGGAAGUCGCCCUGCAGUGACAACUGACUUGCCGAGUGAUGCCAUCCGUCGGUUAUUUGAGUGGCUCUUCCACAUGCCAUCUGGUCGUGCGCCAUUGACCCUGUUGGGUUCAUCUGCCACACCGCACUGAAAAGCGCCCUGCUGCGGCACCUUAUUGGUCAUGCACUAUUUAACCCACAGCUGGAAACCAGGCAGGUGCGGCCACUCCGGGUCAGAGCCGACCUGGGAGCGCCGGUGAUUAAGGGGUAACUCCUCUUUCCCCAACACUCAAGACCUUCCGGACCUGAGACUCCCCACUGGUUACAGUUUAAAGUCAGACCCGGGACUAAAUCUAACACUAGUUAUAAAGUGUUUGAUCAGCAUGAAGAGUGGAUAAUCCUGUUUUCUCUCUCUCUCACACACACACACACACACACACACACACACACACACACACACACACACAUGCUCUUCACUGACAGGAUUCAAUGUGAUGAGCUGGCUGUAGGAGUGAACCUCAGAUUGCGCUCAGGGUCAGAGCGACUUUGUUUGCUUCAUUUCUGACUGAAGUUCUGCUGUAAUAAGUGAUAAACUCACACAAUCCCUUGAAAACAAUACCAGUGUGUGUGCAUGCAUGUGUGAGUGAGUGUGAGUGUGAGA